GAGUUAGAUGAGCCAUAGGGGAGAGAGGCAAGGACUGCUUUAUUACUUAGUGCAGGGCCGCGAGUGUUGUGGAGCUAGGAAGUUCGAAAGUUUAGUGUUGGUGGUGCAGGGAAUGAAUAAAGUAAACUAGUUAGUGACUUAUCAGAGUUUAGGUAAAGAGGAAAGAGCUUCUUGAUUAGUAGUCGAGGAAUUCGUAGAGGUCGGAGUAGCUAGUUGAUUUCUUUGGUCAGCCAGGUGUUUGGCCUCAGGGAAAAAUGAAUACUAACGCAAUUGGGCCAUAAUACAUAGGCGAGUACAUUGGGUGUAUUGAGAGUGGAAUACUGAGUGUAAUCCCGAGCUGAAGAAGUUUCAUCUGUCUUU
rnacentral:lncRNA from 1 species